AGUGCAUGUGGUGGAUGCCUUGGCGAUUACAGGCGAUGAAGGACGUGGUAGCCUGCGAAAAGCUUCGGGGAGCUGGCAAACAAGCUUUGAUCCGGAGAUGUCCGAAUGGGGAAACCCACUCCGCAAGGAGUAUCCCUGACUGAAUACAUAGGUCAGUGGAGGCGAACCCGGCGAACUGAAACAUCUAAGUAGCCGGAGGAACAGAAAUCAACCGAGAUUCCCCAAGUAGUGGCGAGCGAACGGGGAUCAGCCUGCAAGAGAUAACGCAUUGGUUAGUGGAACAGUCUGGAAAGUCUGGCCAUAGUGGGUGAUAGCCCCGUACACGAAAACCAGCGCGCGAGACUAAGCUUGCGACAAGUAGGGCGGGACACGUGAAAUCCUGUCUGAAGAUGGGGGGACCAUCCUCCAAGGCUAAAUACUCGUAAUCGACCGAUAGUGAACUAGUACCGUGAGGGAAAGGCGAAAAGAACCCCGGGAGGGGAGUGAAAUAGAUCCUGAAACCGCAUGCAUACAAACAGUGGGAGCGGACUUGUUCCGUGACUGCGUACCUUUUGUAUAAUGGGUCAGCGACUUACGUUCUGUAGCAAGCUUAACCGAAUAGGGGAGGCGUAGCGAAAGCGAGUCUGAUAAGGGCGUAAGAGUGAAAACUCGAGUUGCAGGGCGUAGACCCGAAACCAGAUGAUCUAUCCAUGGCCAGGAUGAAGGUGCCGUAACAGGUACUGGAGGUCCGAACCCACUAAUGUUGAAAAAUUAGGGGAUGAGCUGUGGAUAGGGGUGAAAGGCUAAACAAAUCUGGAAAUAGCUGGUUCUCCCCGAAAGCUAUUUAGGUAGCGCCUCAUGUAUCACCACCGGGGGUAGAGCACUGUAAUGGUUGAAGGGGUCAUUGCGAUCUACUUCGCCAUAGCAAACUCCGAAUACCGGUGAGUGCGAGCAUGGGAGACAGACGGUGGGUGCUAACGUCCAUCGUCAAGAGGGAAACAACCCAGACCGCCAGCUAAGGUCCCAAAGUCAUAGUUAAGUGGAAAACGAGGUGGGAAGGCAUAGACAGUCAGGAAGUUGGCUUAGAAGCAGCCAUCCUUCAAAGAAAGCGUAAUAGCUCACUGAUCGAGUCGUCCUGCGCGGAAGAUGUAACGGGGCUCAAACUAUGCACCGAAGCUGCGGAUAUUCGUAAGAAUAUGGUAGGGGAGCGUUCUGUAGGUCUGCGAAGGUGGGGUGUAAACCCUGCUGGAGAUAUCAGAAGUGCGAAUGCUGACAUGAGUAGCGAUAAAGGGUGUGAAAAGCACCCUCGCCGAAAGCCCAAGGUUUCCUGCGCAACGUUCAUCGGCGCAGGGUGAGUCGGCCCCUAAGGCGAGGCCGAAAGGCGUAGUCGAUGGGAAACGGGUUAAUAUUCCCGUACCAAUCACAGAUGCGAUGGGGGGACGGAGAAGGUUAGCUCAGCCGGGUGUUGGACGUCCCGGUUUAAGCGUGUAGAUGUGCCCGCUAGGCAAAUCCGGUGGGCUUAAUCAAGGCGUGAUGACGAGGAUCUUUGGAUCUGAAGUGAGUAAUACCAUGCUUCCAGGAAAAGCCUCUAAGCUUCAGUCUGUGAAUGACCGUACCGCAAACCGACACAGGUGGGCAGGAUGAAAAUUCUAAGGCGCUUGAGAGAACUCAGGAGAAGGAACUCGGCAAAUUGAUACCGUAACUUCGGGAGAAGGUAUGCCUCGGUAGUGUGUAGUCCCUCGCGGAUGAAGCACGAUGAGGCCGCAGAGAAUCGGUGGCUGCGACUGUUUAAUAAAAACACAGCACUCUGCAAAGGCGAAAGCCGACGUAUAGGGUGUGACGCCUGCCCGGUGCUGGAAGGUUAAUUGAUGGGGUGCAAGCUCCUGAUCGAAGCCCCAGUAAACGGCGGCCGUAACUAUAACGGUCCUAAGGUAGCGAAAUUCCUUGUCGGGUAAGUUCCGACCUGCACGAAUGGCGUAACGAUGGCCACACUGUCUCCUCCUGAGACUCAGCGAAGUUGAAAUGUUUGUGAAGAUGCAAUCUACCCGCGGCUAGACGGAAAGACCCCAUGAACCUUUACUGUAGCUUUGCAUUGGACUUUGACGGGACUUGUGUAGGAUAGGUGGGAGGCGUUGAGACGUGGUCGCUAGAUCGCGUGGAGCCAACCUUGAAAUACCACCCUGGUGUCGUUGAGGUUCUAACCUUGGUCCGUGAAUCCGGAUCGGGGACCGUGCAUGGCAGGCAGUUUGACUGGGGCGGUCUCCUCCCAAAGAGUAACGGAGGAGUACGAAGGUCUUCUAAGCACGGUCGGACAUCGUGCUCAUAGUGCAAUGGCAAAAGAAGGCUUGACUGCGAGACCCACAAGUCGAGCAGGUGCGAAAGCAGGUCAUAGUGAUCCGGUGGUUCUGUAUGGAAGGGCCAUCGCUCAACGGAUAAAAGGUACUCUGGGGAUAACAGGCUGAUUCCGCCCAAGAGUUCAUAUCGACGGCGGAGUUUGGCACCUCGAUGUCGGCUCAUCACAUCCUGGGGCUGUAGUCGGUCCCAAGGGUAUGGCUGUUCGCCAUUUAAAGUGGUACGUGAGCUGGGUUUAAAACGUCGUGAGACAGUUUGGUCCCUAUCUGCCGUGGGCGCUGGAUAUUUGAGGGGGCCUGCUCCUAGUACGAGAGGACCGGAGUGGACGAACCUCUGGUGUACCGGUUGUGACGCCAGUCGCAUCGCCGGGUAGCUAAGUUCGGAAGAGAUAACCGCUGAAAGCAUCUAAGCGGGAAACUCGCCUCAAGAUGAGAUAUCCCGGGGAUUUAAUCCCCCUAAAGGGUCGUUCUAGACCAGGACGUUGAUAGGCAGGGUGUGGAAGCGCAGCAAUGCGUUAAGCUAACCUGUACUAAUUGCCCGUGAGGCUUGACC
rnacentral:rRNA from 1 species